UUUAAUUGAAGAGUUUGAUCAUGGCUCAGAUUGAACGCUGGCGGCAGGCCUAACACAUGCAAGUCGAGCGGCAGCGGGAGGAAGCUUGCUUCCUCGCCGGCGAGCGGCGGACGGGUGAGUAAUGUCUGGGAAACUGCCCGAUGGAGGGGGAUAACUACUGGAAACGGUAGCUAAUACCGCAUAACGUCGCAAGACCAAAGUGGGGGACCUUAGGGCCUCACACCA
rnacentral:rRNA from 1 species